AAAAUACUUCCUUCGUCUGAAAAUACUUGUUAUCAAAAUGAAUAAAAAGAGAUGUAUUUAGAACUAAAAUAUAUCUAGAUACAUCAUUUUUAUCUAUUUUAAGAAUAAGUAUUUCCGAACGAAGAAAGUACUCA
rfam:Triticum urartu cultivar G1812 contig511237, whole genome shotgun sequence.